rnacentral:rRNA from 1 species
AUUGAACGCUGGCGGCAGGCUUAACACAUGCAAGUCGAGCGGAGAUGAGGUGCUUGCACCUUAUCUUAGCGGCGGACGGGUGAGUAAUGCUUAGGAAUCUGCCUAUUAGUGGGGGACAACAUUCCGAAAGGAAUGCUAAUACCGCAUACGCCCUACGGGGGAAAGCAGGGGAUCUUCGGACCUUGCGCUAAUAGAUGAGCCUAAGUCGGAUUAGCUAGUUGGUGGGGUAAAGGCCUACCAAGGCGACGAUCUGUAGCGGGUCUGAGAGGAUGAUCCGCCACACUGGGACUGAGACACGGCACAGACUCCUACGGGAGGCAGCAGUGGGGAAUAUUGGACAAUGGGCGGAAGCAUGAUCCAGCCAUGCCGCGUGUGUGAAGAAGGCCUUAUGGUUGUAAAGCACUUUAAGCGAGGAGGAGGCUACUGAGACUAAUACUCUUGGAUAGUGGACGUUACUCGCAGAAUAAGCACCGGCUAACUCUGUGCCAGCCGCCGCCGUAACAC